rnacentral:lncRNA from 1 species
UCCUUUGUGGUGCAGGGAGUUAAAGAUCCAGCAUUGUCACUUCUGUGGCUUGAGUCACUGCUGUGGCAUGAGUUUGAUCCCUGGCCCAGGAACUUUCACGUGCUGUGGGCACGGCAAAAAUAAAUAAAUAAAUAAAAGAUAUAAGAAGAGGAAAUGACACAGGGAGACAACGGAAAAGAAGGAGAUAGAAGCAGAGAUUUGAGAUAUGGGUCUCCAGCAAAGGGACACCAAGGAUUGCAAGCAAUCACCAGAAGCUGGAGAAGGAUGGGCUGAUUUUUCCCUCCAAGCCUCCAAGGAACCAACCCUACUGACAUGUCAAUUUCAAAUUCCAGCCUCCUGAAUGAUGAGAGAAUCAAUUUAUGUUCUUUUCAACCCCUGAGUUGGUAGUAAGUCGUUCUGGCAGUCCCAGGAAACUAAUACAGUGAUGCAACAACAGUUUUAAACCGAAAGAACAGAAGUGUUUAUCUGUAGGUGGUGUCCCAAUCAAACGAGACACACUGAGAAAAGUAAAAAGGAUUGACUGGAGGAUGUUGCCGGAUCUGAAAAUAGGCUGCUGCUUUAAUUAAAAACCAUCACUCUUCAUAAAUAGCCUGCAAAGAUGAACGGACUGCCCGGCUUGUUCUCAGUUAUUCUCCACAGCCGUGAACACGUUGUAUUGGAGUCGUUUGUCUUCUGCAAGGGCCCUUUCGUAUUCUCAGAGGAGGCUCUGUGUCCUCACAGAGGGACUGGCGGCUGGCAAGUCACAGAACGAGGAGACAUCAAGAGUGCUCAAGUCGCGGCUCAGUUUUCACGCUAAGAAAGAGGAUCAGUCACCUCAUUUGUGGGGCCCCAAAUGAAACUGUUGCACCUCCUCUGAUUCAAAUCUUACUGAUAAUUUCAAGACCCUGAGAGCCACCUCCACCAAGGAAUAUCUUACAGGUGUCUCUGCAGGGCGGGGCUUGAGUAAUAGACUCUUAUGAAUCCUGUGUACAUUAUUGUCAACUUUUUGGGUGUCCGCUAAUGUGGAAAAAGUGCUAUCAUGUCAGUGUUUUCCCUGACAACUCAAUAUUCUCUGGAAUUAGGGUAAGGAAUUUUCUACUUUCUCCCCAGUUAUGUUAAUUCAAACACACUUGUAACACAAUACCUCAUUUUAAGUUUCAUCUUAAAGACAGUUGCAAGCUAUAGCCCAGUUCCGAGAAUUUUGGAGAGUACUUUAAAUUUUCCUCCAGUACCCUAAUAAAGUCUCCAUCGUUUGGCAUUUUCCUUGUGGCAUUCAUUUUCAGACUUGAAAGAUGAAUGGAACAUUUCACGGAGGUAAUUCUAGGUUACUUUAUUUUAUUUUAGGUUACUUUAUUUUUUGUGGUCCAAUGGAGUGAAUAAAUCAGUGUCCGAAGUUGUAGAGAUGAUAACGUAUUAAUGUGAAUAACUGGUAAGGCCUAAAAAUUGAUUUUCUAGAACGGAGUACAGUUGAACUAUACUCAAAAUUUGUCUUUAUAAAUUAAAAAAAAAAAAAAAACAACUUUAACCUACUUUAAAGCAGAUACUUUUGAAAAAUGUGAAUGUAGAGAAGCUCCCACUACAUUAUUUUGAAUCUUCCAAAGAUGGACUGGUUGCAUUUUAAUUUAUUAUUAUUUUGGGCAUAAUGCUUCUUCACCCCUAGGGCCUAUGAAUAAAAUUAUGGUUGGAGUUAAAAUAUUCACAGGUGCUUGGUAGUUUGUUAUACCCAGGCCGUGCUUCUGGAGCCAUUUGGGGCCAUAUCUAUUACA